AAGGGUGUAAAUUCCACUAUUUGUUCGCCAAUGUUAUUUAAUUUUCAUUAGAGUUAUUGUCUAUUGUAAAGCGUUGCUUCAUUUUACUAAAUUUGAAUUUCAAUAAGAAUUUUAGGAUUUCCCCAUUUUAGACAAAGGCUACAUAUGGAUCUGUGUAUCCCCAGCCAUUAAAAUAUCUACUUACACAUAAAAAGGAAGCAGCAGUCAAAUCAUUAUUGAAGGCAAGGGGAUGGGAUAAAAAGACAAAGGAAGAUGUUGAGAAGGAACUAAUAACAGUUCUCAGUGUGGCAUCAGUGAAACUGGAUCAGAAUGUAUUUCUUACUGGAGACCAUGCGACUGAAGCAGAUGCUAUCCUCUUUGGUCAUCUUCAAGCUAUUUUGGCAACAAAGCAAAGCAGCAAAUUGUUAGUACAUGCCUUGGAGGAUUUUCCUCAACUUGUUAGAUAUUGUGUUACCAUAGGUAAAUUAUGCGGCUUUGCUUCAUAGCAAAUCAAAGGGCUGUUGAUAAUUUUUCUUUGUAAAAAGUCAUAUUCUUAUAGCCAAUUUUAAAAUUAAUAAAUUCUAUCUUAAAUAUGGUUCUGUUUCUUUGGUUUGUUCCCUUAAAGAAUUAUUCAGAUAUGAUUAUUAUAAUGACUGCCAUAGCCAUUACAAUAACAUCAUCUGGAAACAGUUUGACUGGGUUAAAUAUUGCAUAGAAAUGCUGUUUUUGUUGACAACACUGUUUUUCAAAAUAUGAAUGCUGAAAACUUCUUUCUUUGGGUCCUCUUUUAUACUGUGCUAUCGUUUAACAGCACUUCCUUUAUGUUGUGCUUUUGUCUUUGCUCUGUCAGCAUUGGCCCUCUCUC